GCCCUCAACAGCUCCGUCGGUGGAGCCUGAGGCUCUUAACUGCAGAAUCGUGGGUUCGAGUCCCACGGUGGGCA